AACCCGGCGAAAGUCGGACUAAUACCGCAUAAAACAGGGGCACCGCAUGGUGAUAUUUGUUAAAGAAAUUCGCUGAUAGAUGGGCAUGCGUUCCAUUAGGUAGUUGGUGAGGUAACGGCUCACCAAGCCGACGAUGGAUAGGGGAACUGAGAGGUUGGUCCCCCACACUGGUACUGAGACACGGACCAGACUCCUACGGGAGGCAGCAGUGAGGAAUAUUGGUCAAUGGGCGAGAGCCUAAACCAGCCAAGUCGCGUGAAGGAAGAAGGAUCUAUGGUUCGUAAACUUCUUUUGCAGGGGAAUAAAGUGCGGGACGUGUCCUGUUUUGUAUGUACCCUGAGAAUAAGGAUCGGCUAACUCCGUGCCAGCAGCCGCGGUAAUACGGAGGAUCCGAGCGUUAUCCGGAUUUAUUGGGUUUAAAGGGUGCGUAGGUGGUUUGAUAAGUCAGCGGUGAAAGUUUGCAGCUUAACUGUAAAAAUGCCGUUGAAACUGUCGGACUUGAGUGUAAAUGAGGUAGGCGGAAUGCGUGGUGUAGCGGUGAAAUGCAUAGAUAUCACGCAGAACUCCGAUUGCGAAGGCAGCUUACUAAGCUACAACUGACACUGAAGCACGAAAGCGUGGGGAUCAAACAGGAUUAGAUACCCUGGUAGUCCACGCAGUAAACGAUG
rnacentral:rRNA from 1 species